GAAAAGAAUAGAAAUAAAGAAACAAAGCAAACGAAACAGAGAGCAGGGGAAGGAAAGAAAUGAAAAGAGAAAAGAAAGAAGAAAAGGGAAAAUUAAAGGUUUGAAGCUUGGAAGUUUAAUAGCUAGCAUUGUGCCGGAAAAUCUCAGCUAAGUGAGGAAAAGACAAAGUCGAGGAAGGAUAGCUCGGAAAUUAUGGUUAAAUAAAGCUAAACCGUUGAAUCAGCAUCCCAGGCCGAUCCCGAACUUAAUAAGGUAAAGUAUGUGAAUUGUUGAUAAUGGCAUGUACCUAGGAUGUCUUAAGUGUGUUAUUUUGCAUUGUGAUUGUCGAAACCAUUUUUUGAUUUGUGAAAAAUACGGGGUUCGACUUUUAAAACAAAGUGUGGAGUCACCACCAAUCUUUUUGUUUAGGUGUGAUUGGAUCACCUGAUAAAACAUUUUAUUCCAUUUAAAUCAAUUUUGGCCUACGUAAA